AAACUAUUUACCUUCAUCAAAGACAAGUCAACAGUGAUGACUGGAACAGAUGAAAAUUAGAGCACUAAAUACACAGAGGCUUUUCUGAAGAUAUAGGACAUUUCUCAGUCUGUUCUUCGCUUCCAAGAUCAUCAUAUGCUGUGUAGCUGUUAACACCAGUGACUCUGAGGACCUGGAUGCUGCAGGUAUAGAUACAGUAAGCAGUAACUCAGUCACAGGACGUGACUCAGGA
rnacentral:lncRNA from 1 species